rnacentral:rRNA from 1 species
ACGAGUGGCGGACGGGUGAGUAAUGCUUAGGAAUUUGCCCAGUAGUGGGGGACAACCCGAGGAAACUCGGGCUAAUACCGCAUACGCCCUACGGGGGAAAGCGGGGGACCUUCGGGCCUCGUGCUAUUGGAUGAGCCUAAGUCGGAUUAGCUUGUUGGUGAGGUAAAGGCUCACCAAGGCGACGAUCCGUAGCUGGUCUGAGAGGACGAUCAGCCACACUGGGACUGAGACACGGCCCAG